AGUUAUUGGGAUAUAAACCUAAUAGCGUAAUUAACUUGACUAAUAAUGGGAUUAGUUUUUUAACUAUUUAUAGCUAAUUAACACAAUCCCGGGGCGUUCUAUAUAGUUAUGUAUAAUAUAUUUAUAUUAUUUAUGCCUCUAACUGGAACGUACCUUGAGCAGAUAUGCUGUGACCCGAAAGAUGGUGAACUAUACUUGAUCAGGUUGAAGUCAGGGGAAACCCUGAUGGAAGACCGAAACAGUUCUGACGUGCAAAUCGAUUGUCGAAUUGAGUAUAGGGCGAAAGACCAAUCGAACCAUCUGUAGCUGGUUCUUCCGAGUUUCCCUCAGGAUAGCUGGUGCAUUAAUGUUAUAUAAAUAAUCUUAUCUGGUAAGCGAUGAUUAGAGGCCUUAGGGUCGAACGAUCUUAACCUAUUCUCAACUUUAAAUGGGUAAGAACCUAACUUUCUUGAUAUGAAGUUUAAGGUUAUGAUAUAAUGUGCCCAGUGGGCCACUUUUGGUAAGCAGAACUGGCGCUGUGGGAUGAACCAAACGUAAUGUUACGGUGCCCAAAUUAACAACUCAUGCAGAUACCAUGAAAGGCGUUGGUUGCUUAAACAGCAGGACGGUGAUCAUGGAAGUCGAAUCGCUAAGGUGUGUACAACUCACCUGCCGAAGCAACUAGCCUUAAAUGGAUGGCGCUUAGUUGUAUACCUAUACAUUACCGCUAAAGUAGAUGAUUUAUAUACUUGUAUAUAAUUUUGAAACUUUAGUGAGUAGGAAGGUACAAUGGUAUGCGUAGAAGUGUUUGGCGUAAGCCUGCAUGGAGCUGCAUUGGUACAGAUCUUGGUGGUAGUAGCAAUAAUCGAAUGAGACCUUGGAGACUGAAGUGAGAAGGGUUUCGUGUGAACAGUGGUUGAUCACGAGUUAGUCGGUCCUAAGUUCAAGGCGAAGCCGAAAUUUCAAGUAAUAAAAUGACUAUAUAUUACAAAAUGCCAAUUAAUAUACUUGAAUAAUUUUGAACGAAAGGAUACGGUUCCAUUCCGUAACCUUGAGUAUCCGUUUGUUAUUAAAUAUGGGCCUCGUGCUCAUCCUGGCAACAGGAACGACCAUAAGAAGCCGUCGAGAGAUAUCGGAAGGUUUUCUUUUCUGUUUUAUAGCCGUACUACCAUGGAAGUCUUUCGCAGAGAUAUGGUAGAUGGGCUAGAAGAGCAUGACAUAUACUGUUGUGUCGAUAUUUUCUCUCGGACCUUGAAAAUUUAUGGUGGGGAUACGCAACUUCUCAACAGGCCGUACCAAUAUCCGCAGCUGGUCUCCAAGGUGAAGAGUCUCUAGUCGAUAGAAUAAUGUAGGUAGGGAAGUCGGCAAAUUAGAUCCGUAACUUCGGAUAAGGAUUGGCUCUGAAGAUUGAGAUAGUCGGGCUUGAUUGGGAAACAAUAACAUGGUUUAUGUGCUCGUUCUGGGUAAAUAGAGUUUAUAUUUUAUGUUAGUUGCUGUUCCCGGAUAGUUUAGUUACGUAGCCAAUUGUGGAACUUUCUGCUAAAAUUUUUAGAAUACUAGUUGGGUCAACCAAUUAGUUCUUAUUAAUUAUAACGAUUAUCAAUUAACAAUCAAUUCAGAACUGGCACGGACUUGGGGAAUCCGACUGUCUAAUUAAACAAAGCAUUGUGAUGGCCCUAGCGGGUGUUGACACAAUGUGAUUUCUGCCCAGUGCUCUGAAUGUCAAAGUGAAGAAAUUCAAGUAAGCGCGGGUCAACGGCGGGAGUAACUAUGACUCUCUUAAGGUAGCCAAAUGCCUCGUCAUCUAAUUAGUGACGCGCAUGAAUGGAUUAACGGAUUCUACUGUCCCUAUCUACUAUCUAGCGAACCACAGCCAAGGGAACGGGCUUGGAAUAAUUAGCGGGAAAGAGACCUUUGAGCUUGACUCUAUCUGCAGUGUAAGGGACAUAAGAGGUGUAGAAUAAGUGGGAGAUAUUAGACUUCGGUUUGGUAUCGACAAUGAAAUACCACUACUCUUAUUGUUUCCUUACUUACUUGAUUAAAUGGAACGUGUAUCAUUUCUAGCCAUUAUACGGAUAUAUUUAUUAUAUUUAUGGUAUUGGUUUUGAUGCAAGCUUCUUGAUCAAGUAUCACGAGUUUGUUAUAUAAUCGCAAACAAAUUCUUUAAUGAGACGAUGCAUUUAUGUAUUUUUGAUUUGAAAUUUGGUAUAACUCCAAUUACUCAGGUAUGAUCCAAUUCAGGACUUGCAGGUAGGGAGUUUGACUGGGGCGGUACAUUCUCAAAUAAUACGGAGGUGUCCCAGGCCAGCUCAGUGCGGACAGAAACCACACAUAGAGCAAAGGGCAAAUGCUGACUUGAUCUCGGUGUUCAGUACACACAGGGACAGCAAAAGCUCGGCUAUCGAUCCUUUUGGUUUAAGAGUUUUACAAGAGGUGUCAGAAAGUUACCAUAGGGAUAACUGGCUUGUGCGGCCAAGCGUUCAUAGCGACGUCGCUUUUGAUCCUUCGAUGUCGGCUCUUCCUAUCAUUGUGAAGCAAAAUUCACCAAGCGUUGGAUUGUUCACCCUGCAAGGGAACGUGAGCUGGUUUAGACCGUCGUGAGACAGGUUAGUUUUACCCUACUAAUGAAAACGUUGUUGCGACGCAUUCCUGCGUAGUACGAGAGGAACGCAGGUACGGACAAUGGCACAAUACUUGUUCGAGCGAACAGUGGUAUGACGCUACGUCGUUGGAUUAUGCCUGAACGCCUCUAAGGUCGUAUCCGUGCUGGACUGCAAUGAUAAAUAAGGGGCAAUUUGCAUUGUAUGGCUUCUAACCAUUUAAAGUUUGU
rnacentral:rRNA from 1 species